rnacentral:rRNA from 1 species
GAAAUGCGAUAAGUAAUGUGAAUUGCAGAAUUCAGUGAAUCAUCGAAUCUUUGAACGCACAUUGCGCCCGCUGGUAUUCCAGCGGGCAUGCCUGUUCGAGCGUCAUUUCAACCCUCAAAACUUCGGUUUUGGUGUUGGAGGAUUACUUGUAAAAGAGUACCCUCUGAAAUUUAGUGGCGGGCUCGCUAGAAUUUUGAGCGUAGUAAUUUUAUACCUCGUUUAUAAAGUCUAGCGGUUCUCUUGCCGUAAAACCCCCCCAACUUUCUGAAAAUUGACCUCGGAUCAGGUAGGAAUACCCGCUGAACUUAAGCAUAUCAAUAAGCGGAGGAAAAGAAACCAACAGGGAUUGCCCUAGUAACGGCGAGUGAAGCGGCAACAGCUCAAAUUUGAAAUCUGGCUUCGGCCCGAGUUGUAAUUUGCAGAGGAUGUUUAUGGUGCGGUACCUUCCGAGUUCCCUGG